GCUUGUUCUUCAUCUCCGGCGCCCAUUGGUGAUCAUCUUCGACGCUGCCAUUGUUUCCCCCGGUCUAGGGGUAACUAACUUCAUCAUCCCUUGUUAUUUUCAUGUUGUUUUGUCUUUGUGAUAUCGCCGCUAUUUUUUUAAGCUCAAAUUCAAUGGUUAUAGUUUGAAUCGACGUCACCGGCGCCCAUUGGUGAUCUUCUUCGACUUCGCCAUCGACUCUUCGCGUUUAUAUGAUGGAUCAUAUAUAACUUAUCAAGACUAGAUCCUUAUGGAUGUAUAACUUAUCAAGACUAGAUCCUUAUGGCCGAUGGUGUACUAGUGUUAGUUCGUCUGGAAGCUGUAUGCACACCCCCUACCUAGUAUGCAUCUGUCGACGAAAUAUGGUCGACAGUCUACGUAGGGGUAUGCCCAAGGUAGUAGAUUGUCGGUAGACAGGUGCGCAAGCUAUGAACUAGACGGUGACGCCAGAUACAGAUAAUGAUUUUAUCCAGGUUCGGCCGCCGUGAGGCCAUAAUAUCUACGUCCUGCGUCUGAUGGUAUUGGUAUGAGGUGUAAUGAAUUGUCUUGAGUUGGUCCCAUGCCCCACCUUAUAUAGUCCCGGGGGCAAGAUUAGAAAUCUAGAAACUAAUUCUAGUCGGUUACAAUUGUCAUAGAUAGUCGGACAUCAAUCUCUAUUCUAACCGACAAAGAUCUUGCUUGAUCUCCUCGUCUACUUUCCUUACGCGGAACUCCGAGCAGUUCGAUCAAGCCAUGAACCAUCUUGUAAUGGGCCAAUCUUCUCGGCCCAAGUCUAGCCGUAAGGGUAUAGGGGUUUAUACCCCCACAUUUAUUUUGAACUAUCUUUUUAUAAUUAUGGGGGUGAGUAAUUUAGAGGCAAAAUUAGAUGGUUAUUUUAUGUGUCUUUUUCAUAAUAAGAGAGACAGAUAUUUUUUAAUAACAAGAUAGAUUCAAUGGCUAUUAUUGGAGAUGAUGGUUAGAUGUUCUUGUUUAUUAUAAAAGUGUCUAAAAGCCGACCAGAAGAACAUGCCGGACAUAUAUUGAUAGAGAAGGAACUAAAUAUAAUAAAAAAUAAAAGAAAUAAAAAAGAAAACCACAACACUCUUGAAGUUGAUAACAAGACCACCACCAAGAUAAAAUAACACCAACGAAAGCACCAUGCCAAUAGCCGCCAAACGCUACCUGUAUGCUACAGGAAACAACCAUUAUAGCAGAAAAAGGGAAAAGAGGUUUCCCGAGUGAAUCCUCCUAGGAGGGAAAUGAUAUCCGUAGGUACUGUUUUAUAGGUACUGUAAACACUGAUAGAAGAGCUAAGGUUUCUCAACUAAAACUCUUGGUAGAAGAGCUAAGGUUUCUCAACAAAAGUAGUUCCUCAUUACAAUGCCUCCGAUAAAGGAAAUGACUCCAAAAACAUCACCAGUCGGCCAUAUAUAGCUACAGACUAGGCAACGCUUUCACCUUAAAGCCCCCCAACACUCUAGACCUAAAUCUUGCCACCGCAUGUGGAUCCUCACAACUACAUGGAACCAUAGUAAACCACCACCAACGUGAGAUCAUUGAGGCAACGACAGGGUCAUAGGGAUGGCUCACUACUACAUAAUUGGUUUGUAAGAGCCAGGG
rnacentral:lncRNA from 1 species